rnacentral:rRNA from 1 species
UUUGAUGGCGACCGGCGCACGGGUGAGUAACACGUAUCCAACCUGCCGAUGACUCGGGGAUAGCCUUUCGAAAGAAAGAUUAAUACCCGAUGGCAUAGUUCUUCCGCAUGGUGGAACUAUUAAAGAAUUUCGGUCAUCGAUGGGGAUGCGUUCCAUUAGUUGUUGGCGGGGUAACGGCCCACCAAGCCUUCGAUGGAUAGGGGUUCUGAGAGGAAGGUCCCCCACAUUGGAACUGAGACACGGUCCAAACUCCUACGGGAGGCAGCAUG